rnacentral:rRNA from 1 species
ACUCCUACGGGAGGCAGCAGUGGGGAAUAUUGGACAAUGGGCGCAAGCCUGAUCCAGCCAUGCCGCGUGAGUGAUGAAGGCCCUAGGGUUGUAAAGCUCUUUUGUGCGGGAAGAUAAUGACGGUACCGCAAGAAUAAGCCCCGGCUAACUUCGUGCCAGCAGCCGCGGUAAUACGAAGGGGGCUAGCGUUGCUCGGAAUCACUGGGCGUAAAGGGUGCGUAGGCGGGUCUUUAAGUCAGGGGUGAAAUCCUGGAGCUCAACUCCAGAGCUGCCUUUGAUACUGAAGAUCUUGAGUUCGGGAGAGGUGAGUGGAACUGCGAGUGUAGCGGUGAAAUGCGUAGAGAUC